UCUAAUGCCUAUACCCUCAUUGUAUCUAGGAAGUAACUAACUUGCUUUUGAUUUUACAGGCUCAUAGGUUGAAAGGACUUGCAUUGUCUUGGAUCAGACUGGACCAUGGACUGUUGAAUUAAUGCUGAAAUGAGAAAGAAGCCAGAUAAUAACCAAAGACAGAAGUCUUCUUGGGUGGUGAAAACCAAGAAUCCAGAAGCAGAAUUCUAUGAAGUGGACCUCAAAUUGUCUCCCUCGGGGAAGAGAAGAGAAAGCAUUUAUCCAGUGAUUUCCAUCCU